CCUACGUGGGGCAGCAGUGGGGAAUAUUGGUCAAUGGGAGAAAUCCUGAACCAGCCACGCCGCGUGAGGGAAGACGGCCCUAUGGGUUGUAAACCUCUUUUGUCGGAGAACAAAACCCGGGACGUGUCCCGGACUGCCUGUAUCCGAAGAAACAGCAUCGGCUAACUCCGUGCCAGCAGCAGCGGUAAUACGGAGGAGCCGAGCGUUAUCCGGUUUUAGGGGGGUUACGGGGUGCGUAGGCGGUCCGUUAAGUCAGCGGGAAGAUUGCGGGGCGCAACCCCGUCGAGCCGUUGAAACUGGCAGACUUGAGUUGGCGAGAAGUACGCGGAAUGCGCGGUGUAGCGGUGAAAUGCAUAGAUAUCGCGCAGAACUCCGAUUGCGAAGGCAGCGUACCGGCGCCAGACUGACGCUGAGGCACGAAAGCGUGGGGAUCGAACAGGAUUAGAUACCCGAGUAGUC
rnacentral:rRNA from 1 species